GGAGGAAUGGCCGAGUGGUCGAAGGCAGCGGUCUUGAAAACCGCAGUGGUCGAAAGGCCACCGGGGGUUCGAAUCCCUCUUCCUCCGCCA
rnacentral:tRNA from 1 species